rnacentral:rRNA from 1 species
UGUAAGCGUAUACCAAAGUUGUUGCAGUUAAAACGCUCGUAGUCGGACUUUGGUAGUUCCGGAUGUGUGCACGUCGUGUGCGCACUUCGCGGGGAUUGCUUUUGUGGUCUUGCGUAGGAUGAGGCACUUUUAUUAGUGAACGUCCUCACGCAACCACUUUUUACUGUGAGAAAAUCAGAGUGCUCAAAGCAGGCAUUUGCCGUGAAUGUAUUAGCAUGGAAUAAUAGAAUAGGACUUGGUUCUAUUUUGUUGGUUUGUUGGGACUGAGUAAUGAUUAAGAGGGACAGUUGGGGGCAUUUGUAUUUCGGUGCUAGAGGUGAAAUUCUUAGAUUACCGAAAGACAAACUGCUGCGAAAGCGUCUGCCAAGGAUGUUUUCAUUGA